rnacentral:rRNA from 1 species
AUUGAACGCUGGCGGCAUGCCUAACACAUGCAAGUCGAACGGUAACGACGGGAGCUUGCUCCCGGGCGACGAGUGGCGGACGGGUGAGUAAUACUUAGGAAUCUGCCCAGUAGUGGGGGACAACUCGAGGAAACUCGAGCUAAUACCGCAUACGCCCUACGGGGGAAAGUGGAGGAUCUUCGGACUUCACGCUAUUGGAUGAGCCUAAGUCGGAUUAGCUUGUAGGUAGGGUAACGGCCUACCUAGGCGACGAUCCGUAGCUGGUCUGAGAGGACGAUCAGCCACACUGGAACUGAGACACGGUCCAGACUCCUACGGGAGGCAGCAGUGGGGAAUAUUGGACAAUGGGCGCAAGCCUGAUCCAGCAAUGCCGCGUGUGUGAAGAAGGCCUGCGGGUUGUAAAGCACUUUCAGUAGAGAAGAAAAGCUUACGGUUAAUACCCGUGAGUCUUGACGUAACCUACAGAAGAAGCACCGGCUAACUCCGUG